AAAGGGGUCGUACCUGCAAGUCGAGCGGAAACGAUGAUAGCUUGCUAUCAGGCGUCGAGCGGCGGACGGGUGAGUAAUACUUAGGAAUCUACCUAGUAGUGGGGGAUAGCACGGGGAAACUCGUAUUAAUACCGCAUACGACCUACGGGAGAAAGGGGGCAGUUUACUGCUCUCGCUAUUAGAUGAGCCUAAGUCGGAUUAGCUAGAUGGUGGGGUAAAGGCCUACCAUGGCGACGAUCUGUAGCUGGUCUGAGAGGAUGAUCAGCCACACCGGGACUGAGACACGGCCCGGACUCCUACGGGAGGCAGCAGUGGGGAAUAUUGGACAAUGGGGGAAACCCUGAUCCAGCCAUGCCGCGUGUGUGAAGAAGGCCUUUUGGUUGUAAAGCACUUUAAGCAGUGAAGAAGACUCCGUGGUUAAUACCCACGGACGAUGACAUUAGCUGCAGAAUAAGCACCGGCUAACUCUGUGCCAGCAGCCGCGGUAAUACAGAGGGUGCAAGCGUUAAUCGGAAUUACUGGGCGUAAAGGGAGCGUAGGUGGCUCUAUAAGUCAGAUGUGAAAUCCCCGGGCUUAACCUGGGAACUGCAUCUGAAACUGUAGAGCUAGAGUAUGUGAGAGGAAGGUAGAAUUCCAGGUGUAGCGGUGAAAUGCGUAGAGAUCUGGAGGAAUACCGAUGGCGAAGGCAGCCUUCUGGCAUAAUACUGACACUGAGGCUCGAAAGCGUGGGUAGCAAACAGGAUUAGAUACCCUGGUAGUCCACGCCGUAAACGAUGUCUACUAGUCGUUGGGUCCCUUGAGGACUUAGUGACGCAGCUAACGCAAUAAGUAGACCGCCUGGGGAGUACGGCCGCAAGGUUAAAACUCAAAUGAAUUGACGGGGGCCCGCACAAGCGGUGGAACAUGUGGUUUAAUUCGAUGCAACGCGAAAACCUUACCUGGUCUUGACUAA
rnacentral:rRNA from 1 species